CGCGUGCCACAGGUCGCGGCUCUGAGGGGCUCAGGGAGCUCCCGGCACGGCAGCGGACACAUCCAGUGCAAUCUCCUGCGUGUAAUUCUAGAUGAAGGUUCAUUCAACCCCCCCAGUUUCUGUAGUUUUAAAAGCUGUUUUAACCUUUUCCCUACGCCCUUGACACGGUAGCGGGGAGCAGCGCCCCGUGUGCCAUUCCCUGUUGGUCGGUUGCCCCGAGGCCCCCCUGCGCCGCUGCUCGCGGCGAUCCGCUCGGGCCGGGGCACGGGGGACAGAUGCCGGCGGCAGGGAGCGGAACGGGCGGGUUCCGGGCCGGCGCGCGGGCCCCCAGGGGCUGAUGUGCCGCCGCAGCUGGGCCGCGCGAGAGGCCGGAUCGCUGGAUGGGGGCAAUAAGGAGCUGGGCGGUAAUUGCCUGUUUGACGUUUCCGAGAUGCGAAGCGCGGCUGAACGGCAAGCCUGGAGUGCCCUUCAGGAGGUCAUCCUCUGCUUCACAAACUCACAUCACCGCUGGAAUGAAAGCACUCGUGGCACUCGGAGAACAGCGGCCAAAUGUGUUUAACGUGCUGCCCCGUGAGGCGGGGAGGGAACAAGCUGGCCAAGAACGAGUACAAGCUCUUUUUCUAGAAAACCGUUCUUCAAAAGAGCAGAGUGCAGCGGCAUGCUUCAGCCUCCAAGAUUCAUACUGCUAG
rnacentral:lncRNA from 1 species